AGAGUUUGAUCCUGGCUCAGAUUGAACGCUGGCGGCAUGCCUUACACAUGCAAGUCGAACGGCAGCACGGAGCUUGCUCUGGUGGCGAGUGGCGAACGGGUGAGUAAUAUAUCGGAACGUACCCUAGAGUGGGGGAUAACGUAGCGAAAGUUACGCUAAUACCGCAUGCGAUCUAAGGAUGAAAGUGGGGGAUCGCAAGACCUCAUGCUCGUGGAGCGGCCGAUAUCUGAUUAGCUAGUUGGUAGGGUAAAAGCCUACCAAGGCAUCGAUCAGUAGCUGGUCUGAGAGGACGACCAGCCACACUGGAACUGAGACACGGUCCAGACUCCUACGGGAGGCAGCAGUGGGGAAUUUUGGACAAUGGGCGAAAGCCUGAUCCAGCAAUGCCGCGUGAGUGAAGAAGGCCUUCGGGUUGUAAAGCUCUUUUGUCAGGGAAGAAACGGUGAAAGCUAAUAUCUUUUGCUAAUGACGGUACCUGAAGAAUAAGCACCGGCUAACUACGUGCCAGCAGCCGCGGUAAUACGUAGGGUGCAAGCGUUAAUCGGAAUUACUGGGCGUAAAGCGUGCGCAGGCGGUUUUGUAAGUCUGAUGUGAGAUCCCCGGGCUCAACCUGGGAAUUGCAUUGGAGACUGCAAGGCUAGAAUCUGGCAGAGGGGGGUAGAAUUCCACGUGUAGCAGUGAAAUGCGUAGAUAUGUGGAGGAACACCGAUGGCGAAGGCAGCCCCCUGGGUCAAGAUUGACGCUCAUGCACGAAAGCGUGGGGGGGCAAACAGGAUUAGAU
rnacentral:rRNA from 1 species